rnacentral:rRNA from 1 species
UACGUAGGGCGCAAGCGUUGUCCGGAAUUAUUGGGCGUAAAGAGCGUGUAGGCGGUCAGGUAGGUCCGUUGUGAAAACUCGAGGCUCAACCUCGAGACGCCGAUGGAAACCAUCUGACUAGAGUCCGGAAGAGGAGAGUGGAAUUCCUGGUGUAGCGGUGAAAUGCGCAGAUAUCAGGAAGAACACCCGUGGCGAAAGCGGCUCUCUGGAACGGUACUGACGCUGAGACGCGAAAGCGUGGGGAGCGAACAGG